rnacentral:rRNA from 1 species
GACGAACGCUGGCGGCGUGCCUAAUACAUGCAAGUAGAACGCUGAAGCUUGGUGCUUGCACCGAGCGGAUGAGUUGCGAACGGGUGAGUAACGCGUAGGUAACCUGCCUGGUAGCGGGGGAUAACUAUUGGAAACGAUAGCUAAUACCGCAUAACAGUAGAUAUCGCAUGAUAUGUGCUUGAAAGGUGCAAUUGCAUCACUACCAGAUGGACCUGCGUUGUAUUAGCUAGUUGGUGAGGUAACGGCUCACCAAGGCAACGAUACAUAGCCGACCUGAGAGGGUGAUCGGCCACACUGGGACUGAGACACGGCCCAGACUCCUACGGGAGGCAGCAGUAGGGAAUCUUCGGCAAUGGACGGAAGUCUGACCGAGCAACGCCGCGUGAGUGAAGAAGGUUUUCGGAUCGUAAAGCUCUGUUGUAAGAGAAGAACGAGUGUGAGAGUGGAAAGUUCACACUGUGACGGUAUCUUACCAGAAAGGGACGGCUAACUACGUGCCAGCAGCCGCGGUAAUACGUAGGUCCCGAGCGUUGUCCGGAUUUAUUGGGCGUAAAGCGAGCGCAGGCGGUUAGAUAAGUCUGAAGUUAAAGGCUGUGGCUUAACCAUAGUACGCUUUGGAAACUGUUUAACUUUGAGUGCAAGAGGGGAGAGUGGAAUUCCAUGUGUAGCGGUGAAAUGCGUAGAUAUAUGGAGGAACACCGGUGGCGAAAGCGGCUCUCUGGCUUGUAACUGACUCUGAUGCUCGGAAUCGUGGGGGAGCAAACAGG